rnacentral:lncRNA from 1 species
UGAGGGUGGAUAUUGGCGGGUUUUAACCCUCGGUGGCAGGAUUGGCAAUUUAAACCUCCCUCCACCCUGACCCCAGUUGAGUCAACGAGACUGCAGAUUUCUUGACUGAAGCCUCUGGACUCCAGAGUGCACUGAGGAAAACAGCAACCAUGACAUUUCUCCUCUUUCUCAUCUCAAUAAAUCCCUGUUAAAAUAAAUACA